GCCGCGGUGGUUUAGAGGUUAGAGCGUUCGUCCCGCAUGCGGAAGGCCGGGGCCGGGUUCGAACCCCGGCCGCGACA